UCUAAUAUGGCAGAAUAAAUGCAUUGGAUUUAAACCCCAAUUAUAAAAUAAUUUUUUUUUAGAA
rnacentral:tRNA from 1 species